ACGAGAGCAAUUGAAAUUGGAUGAUCGUCGACGCGAGUCUAAGAUCCGGUAUUCAGAAGCCGAAUUUCAUAAUAUUUGUAAGAUCGUCAGACGAUCUUCGAACACAAGAUCCCGACCGUGAAUAUUUAUAUCGGCUUGCGAUUACAUACAACGUAGAUAAAUUUUGGUUCUGAUUGGUCGAAUUCCAAAUGCGCAACGCCGCACGAAUCUCCGAGUUGCAAGUGUGGUCCGUAGUCCGAAGAAGAAGCUCUUCGGCUUCGGGGGGAAAACUCCGUGUGCUCUCUCGCAUCUGCUCGGAGUAGGUACGAAGUAAAGAAAAGAAAAAAAAAAAAGAGCGUGAAAUGUUGAUGCGUAUACACGUUGUUGUUGAAGAUUUCGUAGGCGCGAGAGAGAGAGCGUGAAACGUGUGUUGUUGUUCCGCGGGAUUUGAAAGGGUAAGGUUUGUAAUAUUAGUGAAUAUAUAAUUUUACAAAAUUAG